rnacentral:rRNA from 1 species
UACGUAGGGUCCGAGCGUUGUCCGGAAUUACUGGGCGUAAAGGGCGCGUAGGCGGGAUGGCAAGUCGGUCGUGAAAUCCCUCGGCUCAACUGAGGAUCGUCGAUCGAUACUGCCGUUCUUGAGGAUUGCAGAGGAGACUGGAAUUCCCGGUGUAGCGGUGAAGUGUGUAGAGAUCGGGAGGAACACCGGUGGCGAAGGCGGGUCUCUAGCCAGUUCCUGACGCUGAGGCACGAAAGCCAGGGUAGCAAACGGG